GGGCGGGGUUGGCCGCUCAGCCCCCCCAGCCCCGCGGAGGGCAGAGCCCCUCCCACGAGGUGUGGUGACAUCCGGCUCCCUCCAGGCUCCUGCUGUGAUUGUGCGGGCGGUGGCCGGCGGCCCCGCCGGACUGAAUGCGGGGGGCUGCUGCGGAGAAGGCUCAAGGCUGAGGUCAGGCGCGUGCUCCCUGGCGGCGGCGGCGGCACGUGACGGGGCUCCGCGAGCCGGUGCCGGAGCGAGUGCAAACCGCCCCGCGCCGCCGCCUCUGCUUCAGCGAAGCCCCGGGGCGCGGUGACACAAGGGCGGCAGGGCAGCGCUCGGGCAGCAGGGGGCCCGACUCCAGCUGUAAAACCGCGCCUGCCGUGACAGCGAGACGUGCCAGCUGCGUGGCUUGCAGGGCACCGUACUGACAGGAGCCCCGCCUGGUCUGCCCACAACGGGCCGACACGGCCUAGGCCUCCUUUCCCCGCGGCCUGCUGCUUAGCUGCCGGGUCUCCGGCUGUUUCCCGUUCAGAUUGCGGCUGCUGUUCCCGCCCCCUGUCCUCGCCCAUGGGGUUGCUGCAGAAUUCUCAGACAACCACGGCUCAGAAACCAACAGCAAGCCCCCCCCACACACACACACACAUCCCCCAAAUUCUUACUACUAUACAACUUUUAUAGAACUGUCCAUACAUGAGGCAAGCAUGGGAGGGCCCUUGCAUUGUGCGUGUAACACUGUGUAACACAAACAAGUACAAAAGCUUCACUCUACUUUGCUAGCCUGAAAGAGUUUUUUGCUGGGGGGCAUGGAUCAGUGUUGACAUCACUCUCCUCAUCAGUACCCAAGUAAGCUAAUGAUCCAACCAGUGGACCAAAUUUCAUGAUGAAUCCUGAUAUUAUGUAACCAGUCAGUUCCCAUCUGUUACUAUCUGCUAUUGAUUCAGAGAUCAAAAGGGAAUAUUAACAUUUAGAUGAAACUUGGAUGCAAUAUCAUCGAAGUUUGUAGUAAACUGUCUAUGAACUAAUUAAUGGAGAAUUACCUUAUUCUGACGAAUGCAACUAUUAUCUGUGUAUAAAUAGGAAACAGAGGUUUUACUUCAAAGCCACAAUGCUCGUCACCCAAGGAAUGCCUGCUGUCAAAAGACUAUCAAUGUUUUGCCAUAGAUCUAUAAAAGAACUCUAAGGCCCUGAUUCUGUUCUCAGAUCUGCUUAAACUUGGUCGAUGGAAGCUUGAGUCACAAGAUUGAGGUCUCCAGUGCCAGUCUGGAUUACCCUGCUACUUCUCAUGGAAGAAUUUAUACAGACUCUGCAUAUGGACUUGCCUAUUGGAUUAUAACCUAGGGAAUUGAUUCUGAAAGAACUUUUUGCAACUCAGCAGCUCACCAUCUCUAAUGUGAAACUAAGAACUUUAUAUAUACAUAUAUGAAUAAUGAUCUUUUAAAAAUACUCUCUUUCUAAAUAAAUCUUAGUUUAGUUAAGAA